rnacentral:rRNA from 1 species
UGGUGGAGCGAUUUGUCUGGUUAAUUCCGUUAACGAACGAGACCUUAACCUACUAAAUAGUUACACGAACUUCCAGUUCGUGGUCAACUUCUUAGAGGGACUAUUUGUGUCUAAUGAAUGGAAGUUUGAGGCAAUAACA